rnacentral:rRNA from 1 species
UACAGAGGUCUCAAGCGUUGUUCGGAUUCAUUGGGCGUAAAGGGUGCGUAGGCGGCGCGGUAAGUCGGGUGUGAAAUCUCGGAGCUUAACUCCGAAACUGCAUUCGAUACUGCCGUGCUUGAGGACUGGAGAGGAGACUGGAAUUUACGGUGUAGCGGUGAAAUGCGUAGAUAUCGUAAGGAAGACCAGUGGCGAAGGCGGGUCUCUGGACAGUUCCUGACGCUGAGGCACGAAAGUCAGGGUAGCAAACAGG